GACAGGUGGUGCAUGGUUGUCGUCAGCUCGUGUCGUGAGAUGUUGGGUUUAAGUCCCGCAACGAGCGCAACCCCUAUUGUUAGUUUGCCAUCAUUCAGUUGGGCACUCUAGCGAGACUGCCGGUAAUAAACCGGAGAAGUGGGGAUGACGUCAAAUCAUCAUGCCCCUUAUGACCUGGGCUACACACGUGCUACAAUGGUUGGUACAACGAGUUGCGAGUCGGUGACGGCGAGCUAAUCUCUUAAAGCCAAUCUCAGUUCGGAUUGUAGGCUGCAACUCGCCUACAUGAAGUCGGAAUCGCUAGUAAUCGCGGAUCAGCACGCCGCGGUGAAUACGUUCCCGGGCCUU
rnacentral:rRNA from 1 species